ACCGGCGCACGGGUGAGUAACACGUAUGGAACCUGCCCGCAGCAGGGGGAUAAGCGGAAGAAAUUCCGUCUAAUACCGCGUAACAACGUUGGGAGGCAUCUCCCGAUGUUUAAAGAUUUAUCGGCUGCGGAUGGCCAUGCGGCGCAUUAGCUAGUCGGCGGGGUAACGGCCCACCGAGGCGACGAUGCGUAGGGGUUCUGAGAGGAAGGUCCCCCACACUGGUACUGAGACACGGACCAGACUCCUACGGGAGGCAGCAGUGAGGAAUAUUGGUCAAUGGCCGAGAGGCUGAACCAGCCAAGUCGCGUGAGGGAUGACGGCCCUACGGGUUGUAAACCUCUUUUGUCAGGGAGCAAAGGGCGCCACGUGUGGUGUUUUGCGAGUACCUGAAGAAAAAGCAUCGGCUAACUCCGUGCCAGCAGCCGCGGUAAUACGGAGGAUGCGAGCGUUAUCCGGAUUUAUUGGGUUUAAAGGGUGCGCAGGCGGAAUGUCAAGUCAGCGGUAAAAUUUCGGGGCUCAACCCCGUCGUGCCGUUGAAACUGGCGUUCUUGAGUGAGCGAGAAGUAUGCGGAAUGCGUGGUGUAGCGGUGAAAUGCAUAGAUAUCACGCAAAACUCCGAUUGCGAANGCAGCAUACCGGCGCUCAACUGACGCUCAUGCACGAAAGCGUGGGUNUCGAACAGGAUNANAUACCCUGGUA
rnacentral:rRNA from 1 species